UCAUCGGGCUAAAGUCAUCAAAUUAUCGGGACGCACGGCCGCAUAGUGUGAAUGUGUUUUGUGUGGGAGAAGGGAGUGCAGCUCGUCAAAAUCGUGCAAAUUUUGACGGCAAAUAAUUUUUUUCUGGUGUGUCGUUGUUUAGUGAUAUAGUGAUAUUUGCAUUCUGUUGGCAAUAGCUUGCAGCAGUGGAAUCGCAUGGAAUGACCACGUUAGGUUGGUACGAACAUACACGCAUACACACACUCACACAGUCUUCUCUAGUGUUUGUUGUGGUGCAACUCCAGGCAAAAACAUUUCCGAUUCGUUCGAACUUCGAACUGAAGUUCAUGUGAUAAUCAGUGCAUAUUGUGCUGUGACCGUCCUGCUUUGGCGAAAUUUCGAAGAUUCAUGAAAGGGAGAAUCAAACUCAUUUGUGAAUACGUGAUGAAGUGAGUUGGUGGGCCGGCGCAUCAAUCAAACCGCCGCUGGAAAGUCUGAAGAAAAUACAAGUUUUACCAAAUGCCAGGCUUCUGUAUUAAUGGAGAAUCAGUGUACGGGACAAAUGGAUCCAAAAAUGUGGAAGAAAUCACUUGAUGUGCGUGUACUUCAACAUGCGAAGAAGAUAAUCAGAAAAUUGGCAUUUCAUUCAAAACACAUUGAGCGCAAACAUAUAUAAAUACAGUGCUCGCCUCCACCCCUCGACCCUGGAGACAGGUUUUUAAAGUUUGUAAUCCUUUAGCAUACUUGAUGACUUUGUUCAAUCGAAUUCUGGAAUAUGUAUGUCUUAUGGAUUUCAUUUUAAAACAGGAAUGUUUACUUGUGCAGGCGCACUGCCUGUCCAACUGAAGAUCUUUUACCGUUCAUAUCUGCCUCAAGUAUCGCUAUGGUUCCAUUUCGAUUCCAAAGCAUUUGAUUCGAAAACAAGACGGAUCAAAUUAAUUCUACUAAAUGCUUACAGGAUUACAUGAUAUUGAGCCAUAAACUUUCAUUGGAGGAUUAAAGUUCCUUUCGGGGUAUUCCAUAUUACCACUAUGCAUCAUUUUAGUCACUUUUCUUUGCUGUUCCAACUUUCCACAUACACUGACAAGUUACCAAACAACAUUGUCUUAAUUUGGUUGUUUGUUCUGAAUCGGAACCAAGGUCCUUCCACAACUUUUUCCUUCAACAUCGAUUCAAAUGAGGAAGAAUUAUCUAUCUGAUAAAGUUGCUGUACUUGAAUGAAACUACAACUUGAAUCUAAUGGCUCUGCAUUAGCAGCAAAUGGCAAUAAUUCCAGAUUCAAGAAACAA